CUCUUCUUUCUUCUUUCUUCUUUCUCUGUCUUUCAAAACAUAGCAGCAUCAAUCGAUGUCAAGAGCUUUUCUUUGCUUUUGUCCUCUGGACAAAACUCCAUUUUUUUUAUGAGACCCAGAGGUCUCCCCUCAAUUUCUGGCAUUUGAUUGUACUUGGAAGAGAUUGUAAUCUCAAUUGGAGGGUCCGGAUUUUUCCUUCUGCAGAGUGGUUGCUUAGGAUUUGAUGGACGAUGGGCUCGAGACAGAAAAGGGCUGUAAGGACGGGGAAGGUCAAUAUUUCAUCUCCACUAUCUGAUGUCAAUUUCUAGAAUGCAGAUAUAUGUUCGGAGGAAAAAUGGCCACUUGUGAAAAACAACUGGUGAGUGAAAAUGAAAUGACCAUACAUUGGGUUUUGUUACUGGUGGGUCUGCUCAUGUGCAAAUGCAACUUAGCACCAAAGAGUGUGAGAGUCUGGGAUUAACUGAUCUGGCUCUCUGCUUAGACUGCAACACCUUUGCUGAGUAUGUCAAGGACCAAGGUUGUACCUUUAUUAUAUGAAUUUUGUUGAUCCUCAGAUAUUUAUGGUUUUUGGUGGAUUUUACUUCUGGGGUUUUGAUGGGUUUUUUGAAUUGAUUACUUGCUGGUAAGUACAUGGGUUGUAAAAUGGUAAU